rnacentral:rRNA from 1 species
AGAGUUUGAUCAUGGCUCAGAACGAACGCUGGCGGCAGGCUUAACACAUGCAAGUCGAGCGCCCCGCAAGGGGAGCGGCAGACGGGUGAGUAACGCGUGGGAAUCUACCCAUCCCUACGGAACAACUCCGGGAAACUGGAGCUAAUACCGUAUACGUCCUUCGGGAGAAAGAUUUAUCGGGGAUGGAUGAGCCCGCGUUGGAUUAGCUAGUUGGUGGGGUAAUGGCCUACCAAGGCGACGAUCCAUAGCUGGUCUGAGAGGAUGAUCAGCCACACUGGGACUGAGACACGGCCCAGACUCCUACGGGAGGCAGCAGUGGGGAAUAUUGGACAAUGGGCGCAAGCCUGAUCCAGCCAUGCCGCGUGAGUGAUGAAGGCCUUAGGGUUGUAAAGCUCUUUCAGUAGGGAAGAUAAUGACGGUACCUACAGAAGAAGCCCCGGCUAACUUCGUGCCAGCCGCCGCGGUAAUAC